rnacentral:tRNA from 1 species
AUAAAGUUAGUUUAAUAUAAAAUGAUAAAUUGUGGUUUUAUAGAUAAAUUAUAAUUUACUUUAUU